rnacentral:rRNA from 2 species
GAAAUGCGAUAAGUAAUGUGAAUUGCAGAAUUCAGUGAAUCAUCGAAUCUUUGAACGCACAUUGCGCCCUGUGGUAUUCCGCAGGGCAUGCCUGUUCGAGCGUCAUU